UCCCACUAUUUCUCUUAAUCUGUCUUUUUCUCAUUCCUUUGUUGCCGCCGAACACAGGGUACCCACGGGUGACGUAGGGCAGGCUCCCUACAUUCUGGUUUAGAUAAUUAUCUCAGUGAU